rnacentral:rRNA from 1 species
ACGGGAGGCAGCAGUGGGGAAUAUUGGACAAUGGGGGCAACCCUGAUCCAGCGACGCCGCGUGAGUGAAGAAGUAUUUCGGUAUGUAAAGCUCUAUCAGCAGGGAAGAUAAUGACAGUACCUGACUAAGAAGCCCCGGCUAACUACGUGCCAGCAGCCGCGGUAAUACGUAGGGGACAAGCGUUAUCCGGAUUUACUGGGUGUAAAGGGUGCGCGGGCGGCAAAGUAAGUCAGAAGUGAAAGCCCGUGGCUCAACUGCGGGACUGCUUUUGAAACUGCUAAGCUAGAGUACUGGAGGGGUAAGCGGAAUUCCUAGUGUAGCGGUGAAAUGCGUAGAUAUUAGGAAGAACACCGGAGGCGAAGGCGGCUUACUGGACAGAAACUGACGCUCAGGCACGAAGGCGUGGGGAGCAAACAGGAUUAGAUACCCUGGUA